rnacentral:rRNA from 1 species
UUUGUACACACCGCCCGUCGCACCUACCGAUUGAAUGUUUCGGUGAAGAUUCCGGACUGUGGCUCGCGUGCUUCACGGCGCUCUUGCCGUGGGAAGUUAUCUAAACCUCAACAUUUAGAGGAAGGUGAAGUCGUAACAAGGUUUCCGUAGGUGAACCUGCGGAAGGAUCAUUA